AACUUUUGACAAUGGAUCACUUGGUUCUGGCAUCGAUGAAGAACGCAGCGAAAUGCGACAAGUAAUGUGAAUCGCAGAAUUCAGUGAAUCAUCGAAUCUUUGAACGCACAUUGCGCCCCUGGGUGUUCCGGGGGGCAUGCCUGUUCGAUCGUCAUUACACCCCUCAAGCCUAGCUUGGUGUUGGGCCCCGCUGCUCACGUAGCGGGCCUUAAAAUCAGUGGCGGUGCCGUCGGGCCCUGAGCGCAGUAAAUAUCCUUGCUACAGGGACCCGGUGGACGCUGGCCAUCAGCCUCACUUUUCAAGUUUGACCUAGGAUCAGGUAGGGAUACCCGCUGAACUUAAGCAUAUCAAUAAGCGGAGGCU
rnacentral:misc_RNA from 1 species